UACAGAGGUGGCAAGCGUUGUUCGGAAUUACUGGGCGUAAAGGGCGCGUAGGCGGCCAUCUAAGUCAGACGUGAAAUCCCCCGGCUUAACCUGGGAACUGCGUCGGAUACUGGAUGGCUUGAAUUCGGGAGAGGGAUGCAGAAUUCCAGGUGUAGCGGUGAAAUGCGUAGAUAUCUGGAGGAAUACCGGUGGCGAAGGCGGCAUCCUGGACCGACAUUGACGCUGAGGAGCGAAAGCUAGGGGAGCAAACGGG
rnacentral:rRNA from 1 species